UGGGGAAUCUUGCGCAAUGGGGGAAACCCUGACGCAGCGACGCCGCGUGCGGGAUGAAGGCCUUCGGGUUGUAAACCGCUUUCAGCAGGGACGAGGCCUUAUGGUGACGGUACCUGCAGAAGAAGCUCCGGCUAAAUACGUGCCAGCAGCCGCGGUAAUACGUAUGGAGCAAGCGUUAUCCGGAUUCAUUGGGCGUAAAGCGCUCGUAGGCGGUCUGUUAGGUCGGCAAGUUAAAUCCGGGGGCUCAACCCCCGUCCGCUUCCGAUACCGGCAGACUUGAGUUUGGUAGGGGAAGGUGGAAUUCCUAGUGUAGCGGUGGAAUGCGCAGAUAUUAGGAAGAACACCGGUGGCGAAGGCGGCCGUCUGGGCCAUAACUGACGCUGAGGAGCGAAAGCUAGGGGAGCGAACAGG
rnacentral:rRNA from 1 species